GUGCUCGCUUCGGCAGCACAUAUACUAAAACUGGAACGAUACAGAGAUUAGCAUGGCCCCUGGGCAAGGAUGACACGCAAAUUUGUGAAGGGUUCCAUAUUAAA